AUUGAUCCACAUGGAUUUGAUUCUAAUUUCUGUUUUAACUAGUAUUUCUUGCUUUGUUUCUUUGAUUUCUAGUUUCCUGUGAAUAUUGCUUAGAUACAUUAGCUUAGAUAAUGAGAUUUUCUAUUCUUUCAUUUGGCUCUGUUAUGUGUAUAUAUCUUUCAUUUUCACUGAAUUGAUUUCAUACAUAAUUUGAUUUCAUAUCCAGUUUAUUUCUAGUCUUCUUUUGUCACUAUUUCAUAGCAUUUAUAGGUUAGUUUAGUUACUGUUUAGAUUUGUAUAUAUAGAUUCCAUGGUUAGCUUACGUUUUAUUUUCUUACAUUUUUAUUUCCUUGUUUUCUUUUUCAAACAGUUUCCUUUCCUUAAUUCUUUUCUUUUCAAAUUUCUUUGUUUUCAUUUAAUUUCUUGUCCCCACCUAGCUUAAUAGUAAAUACUUAGUAAAUAAAUACAAGAUCUAACUUCACAUUUUCUAAACUUGAUUUUCACUAGUUUAAUAGUAAAUACUUAGUAAAUAAAAUACUUAGUAAACUUUGAU
rnacentral:lncRNA from 1 species